GACGAACCGUGCGAACGUUAUUCGGAAUCACUGGGCUUAAAGCGCGUGUAGGCGGGUCGCCACGUCGGAUGCUGAAAUCCCACGGCUCAACCGUGGAACGGGCACCGAUACGAGCGACCUGGAGGGAGGUAGGGGGGGCUGGAACUUCCGGUGGAGCGGUGAAAUGCGUUGAGAUCGGAAGGAACGCCCGUGGCGAAAGCGAGCCCCUGGACCUUUUCUGACGCUGAGACGCGAAAGCUAGGGGAGCGAACGGG
rnacentral:rRNA from 1 species